ACUACGGGUGGCAGCAGUGGGGAAUAUUGGGCAAUGGGCGCAAGCCUGACCCAGCAACGCCGCGUGAAGGAAGAAGGCUUUCGGGUUGUAAACUUCUUUUCUCAGGGACGAAGAAAGUGACGGUACCUGAGGAAUAAGCCACGGCUAACUACGUGCCAGCAGCCGCGGUAAUACGUAGGUGGCAAGCGUUAUCCGGAUUUAUUGGGUGUAAAGGGCGUGUAGGCGGGAGCGCAAGUCAGAUGUGAAAACUCAGGGCUCAACCCUGAGCCUGCAUUUGAUACUGUGUGUGUUGAGUGCUGGAGAGGCAAUCGGAAUUCCGUGUGUAGCGGUGAAAUGCGUAGAUAUACGGAGGAACACCAGUGGCGAAGGCGGAUUGCUGGACAGUAACUGACGCUGAGGCGCGAAAGCGUGGGGAGCAAACAGGAUUAGAUACCCGGGUAGUC
rnacentral:rRNA from 1 species